AUUGAACGCUGGCGGCAGGCUUAACACAUGCAAGUCGAGCGGGGUGAUGGUGCUUGCACUAUCACUUAGCGGCGGACGGGUGAGUAAUGCUUAGGAAUCUGCCUAUUAGUGGGGGACAACAUCUCGAAAGGGAUGCUAAUACCGCAUACGUCCUACGGGAGAAAGCAGGGGAUCACUUGUGACCUUGCGCUAAUAGAUGAGCCUAAGUCGGAUUAGCUAGUUGGUGGGGUAAAGGCCUACCAAGGCGACGAUCUGUAGCGGGUCUGAGAGGAUGAUCCGCCACACCGGGAAUGAGACACGGCCCAGACUCCUACGGGAGGCAGCAGUGGGGAAUAUUGGACAAUGGGGGGAACCCUGAUCCAGCCAUGCAGCGUGUGUGAAGAAGGCCUUAUGGUUGUAAAGCACUUUAAGCGAGGAGGAGGCUCUUUUGGUUAAUACCCAAGAUGAGUGGACGUUACUCGCAGAAUAAGCACCGGCUAACUCUGUGCCAGCCGCCGCGGUAA
rnacentral:rRNA from 1 species